AGCGAACGCUGGCGGCAGGCCUAACACAUGCAAGUCGAACGAAGUCUUCGGACUUAGUGGCGGACGGGUGAGUAACACGUGGGAACGUGCCUUUAGGUUCGGAAUAACUCAGGGAAACUUGUGCUAAUACCGAAUGUGCCCUUCGGGGGAAAGAUUUAUCGCCUUUAGAGCGGCCCGCGUCUGAUUAGCUAGUUGGUAAGGUAAAGGCUCACCAAGGCUACGAUCAGUAGCUGGUAUGAGAGGAUGACCAGCCACAUUGGGACUGAGACACGGCCCAAACUCCUACGGGAGGCAGCAGUGGGGAAUCUUGCGCAAUGGGCGAAAGCCUGACGCAGCCAUGCCGCGUGGAUGAUGAAGGUCUUAGGAUUGUAAAAUCCUUUCACCGGUGAAGAUAAUGACUGUAGCCGGAGAAGAAGCCCCGGCUAACUUCGUGCCAGCCGCCGCAGUAACAC
rnacentral:rRNA from 1 species